rnacentral:rRNA from 1 species
UACGAAGGGGGCUAGCGUUGUUCGGAUUUACUGGGCGUAAAGCGCACGUAGGCGGAUCGUUAAGUCGAGGGUGAAAUCCUGGAGCUCAACUCCAGAACUGCCUUCGAUACUGGCGAUCUAGAGUCCGGAAGAGGUGAGUGGAACUCCUAGUGUAGAGGUGGAAUUCGUAGAUAUUAGGAAGAACACCAGUGGCGAAGGCGACUCACUGGUCCGGUACUGACGCUGAGGUGCGAAAGCGUGGGGAGCAAACAGG